GACGAACGCUGGCGGCGUGCCUAAUACAUGCAAGUAGGACGCACAGUUUAUACCGUAGCUUGCUACACCAUAGACUGUGAGUUGCGAACGGGUGAGUAACGCGUAGGUAACCUACCUAUUAGAGGGGGAUAACUAUUGGAAACGAUAGCUAAUACCGCAUAACAGUAUGUAACACAUGUUAGAUGCUUGAAAGAUGCAAUUGCAUCGCUAGUAGAUGGACCUGCGUUGUAUUAGCUAGUAGGUAGGGUAAAGGCCUACCUAGGCAACGAUACAUAGCCGACCUGAGAGGGUGAUCGGCCACACUGGGACUGAGACACGGCCCAGACUCCUACGGGAGGCAGCAGUAGGGGAUCUUCGGCAAUGGGGGGAACCCUGACCGAGCAACGCCGCGUGAGUGAAGAAGGUUUUCGGAUCGUAAAGCUCUGUUGUUAAGGAAGAACGAGUGUGAGAAUGGAAAGUUCAUGCUGU
rnacentral:rRNA from 1 species